rnacentral:rRNA from 1 species
UGAGGAAUAUUGGUCAAUGGGCGCAAGCCUGAACCAGCCAUGCCGCGUGCAGGAAGACGGUCCUAUGGAUUGUAAACUGCUUUUAUUUGGGAAUAAACCUAUUUACGUGUAGAUAGCUGAAGGUACCAAAUGAAUAAGCACCGGCUCGCUCCGUGCCAGCAGCCGCGGUAAUACGGAGGGUGCAAGCGUUAUCCGGAAUCAUUGGGUUUAAAGGGCCCGCAGGCGGAUUUAUAAGUCAGUGGCGAAAGC